UUUUCUUUAUCCCGCUGCUAGGUUUUGGUUUUUAGAUAUUAAGGAGUCUGGCAGGACUGGUGAUGCCUUCGGUAGCGACUUGCGCCAGGGCUUUUCUUUAUCCCGCUGCUAGGUUUUGGUUUUUAGAUAUUAAGGAGUCUGGCAGGACUGGUGAUGCCUUCGGUAGCGACUUGCGCCGGGGCUUUUCUUUAUCCCGCUGCUAGGUUUUGGUUUUUAGAUAUUAAGGAGUCUGGCAGGACUGGUGAUGCCUUCGGUAGCGACUUGCGCCGGGGCUUUUCUUUAUCCCGCUGCUAGGUUUUGGUUUUUAAAAUUUAAGGAUUAUCUGGAGAUAUCUGGAGAGACUGUGGCAACAUCUUCUACACAUUUUUAAAUAGGCCAUGGAAUCAAUAAGACAACAGGAGGCAACCAAAAUAAUCCAAGAGGAUCAAUCACAACAGUGCGCCAAGAGGAUGCAGAGAAUAUGUUAAGAUGGACAAAGAAAGCACAAAAGGGAAGAAAUAAAUCCUCCUUGAAAACACAUGGACUGCAAACGCAUUAAAAUCUGUAAGGAAUGAGGUAAAACUGCUGGGGACAAAUACAAAUCUCAAUAAAGUGAGACAAGGCUACUGGGGACACAUUGAAAGCUUUAUGGAGUGAGACAACAUUACUCACACUGCUGGGGACAAAUACAAAUCUCUAUGGAGUGAGACAAUGACACUGGGGAUGCAUUAAAACUUCUAAGGAGUGAGACAAUGCUACUGGGGACGCAUUAAAACUUCUAAGGAGUGAGACAAUGCUACUGGGGACGCAUUCAAACUUCUAAGGAGUGAGACAUUGCUACUGGGGACGCAUUAAAACUUCUAAGGAGUGAGACAUUGCUACUGGGGACGCAUUAAAACUUCUAAGGAGUGAGUUAACACAACUCGGUACGCAUUAAAAUCUCCAUGGAGUGAGCCAACAUUACUCAGACUGCUGGGGACAAAUAAAAAUCUUAAUGGAGUGAGACAACACUACUUGGAACACAUUAAAACUAAGGAGUGAGGUAACUGCUGGAUGCAAAUAAACCUUUAUAGCAGGAGACAAUGCUACUGAUGCUACGGAUAUUAAUUAAAUAUUUUAAGGGGUGAGAAGACGCUACUGGUUACACAUUCAAAUCUUCAGAGGUAAGACAAAAUAAAAUGUCUAUGGAGUGAGGUAACACUGCCAGGGAAAAACUAAAAAGAGGUGAGACAACCCUGCUAGGGACAAAUAAAACUGUCACGGCAACAGAUGGUUAUCAAGUGGUCUCUUGGCUUUUGCUGAAUAAGGAAAUGAGACAAUGCUUCAGAACACAGAUUGACUUCUGACCACUUUGAGACAGAGCAUUUCAGGUGUCUGAAUGUGGGUUGUGUGCGUUGUGUUGACUGUUAGAAACCGGUUGUACCUGUGCCAUGCCAGAAAUAUGGUUAGAAAUAUUACUUUAGUAAUAAUUUUGUAAUAUUUAGUAAGCCUAUUUCGAGGAAAAGUACUUUCUGGAGAAAUACUCUCCUCCUGAUUUCACCUCUGUUAAUCUCUUAUGUGUCAUUGAGUGUUAUUGAAUGUCAUAUUGGACUGAGCCUCCAUGGGCUUUGGCUACCAGAAGAUGCUGAGGAGAUCUACGAUGACAAACAGAGGACCAUCAUCUGAGCUGCUGACUUCUACAAAGCGUGGGGAAUAGGGAUCAAGCACCCUGAAACUGAAAAAGGCAGAAAUCCUGUGAGGAUCCAGGAUAUUGAGGCCGAUGAAGAGCUUCCUAGGGACACCUGAAGACAGGACAGAUAAUCCAGAGGGAGAGGAUGUGGAGAUCUAAAGCCUCUUCAGUCAGAAGGAGGAAGAUGGGAAAAUUAAGUUGACAAAAAAAGUAAGAAAACAUAUAAUUAGACAACAUUUUUAAAUAUACAUGUAGCUGAGCUUAAAGCUAAAAGCUAGCAUGAUUCCUUUUUGUGUGUUUUUUUUCCUAUAUAUUUUUUUUGUUAUAAACUGAGUUUCUUUGUUCUUUGCUGUGAUGGAACAAGCAUCUGAAACAAUGGAUCAUCAGUGUGUCCCAAUCUUUAGAACUUUGAGUUUUGUAUUUUCACAUUUUCUGUUGUAUUAGUUCAGCUUUUUCUCAGGCUUGUAUUCUGACUAUUGUUCUCAUUAGUCAUGUUCUGUUGAUUCAAUGUAUCAUUCCUGUUCAGAUAAUCCCCCCAGUGUUUCAUUGCAGGACCUAUUUUAUUUAUGCUUCCCCACACAGCUGCUCCCAAAGCAGUUAACUAUACUCACC